CUAGACUGAUGAGUUGCGAACGGGUGAGUAACGCGUAGGUAACCUGCCUCAUAGCGAGGGAUAACUAUUGGAAACGAUAGCUAAUACCGCAUAAGAGUAAUUAACACAUGUUAGUUAUUUAAAAGGAGCAAUUGCUUCACUGUGAGAUGGACCUGCGUUGUAUUAGCUAGUUGGUGAGGUAAAGGCUCACCAAGGCGACGAUACAUAGCCGACCUGAGAGGGUGAUCGGCCACACUGGGACUGAGACACGGCCCAGACUCCUACGGGAGGCAGCAGUAGGGAAUCUUCGGCAAUGGACGGAAGUCUGACCGAGCAACGCCGCGUGAGUGAAGAAGGUUUUCGGAUCGUAAAGCUCUGUUGUUAGAGAAGAACGUUGGUAGGAGUGGAAAAUCUACCAAGUGACGGUAACUAACCAGAAAGGGACGGCUAACUACGUGCCAGCAGCCGCGGUAAUACGUAGGUCCCGAGCGUUGUCCGGAUUUAUUG
rnacentral:rRNA from 1 species